ACUCCUACGGGAGGCAGCAGUGGGGAAUAUUGCGCAAUGGACGAAAGUCUGACGCAGCGACGCCGCGUGGAGGAUGAAGGUUUCGGAUCGUAAACUCCUGUCAAGAGGGAAGAAACCUAUUAUGAAUAAUACUCAUAGUAAUUGACGGUACCUCUAGAGGAAGCACCGGCUAAUUCAGUGCCAGCAGCCGCGGUAAUACUGAAGGUGCAAGCGUUAAUCGGAAUCACUGGGCGUAAAGCGCUCGUAGGUGGCUUUGUAAGUCAGGUGUGAAAGCCCACGGCUCAACCGUGGAAUUGCACUUGAUACUGCAUCGCUAGAGUAUAGGAGAGGGAAGUGGAAUUUCUGGUGUAGGAGUGAAAUCCGUAGAGAUCAGAAGGAACACCCGUGGCGAAGGCGACUUCCUGGACUAUUACUGACACUGAGGAGCGAAAGCGU
rnacentral:rRNA from 1 species